UAGGCCAGCGCUGCGGCUCACUAGGCUAAUCCUCCCGGGUUCUAGUCCUGGUUGGGGCGCCGGAUUCUGUCCCAGUUGCUCCUCUUCCAGUCCAGCUCUCUGCUGUGGCCCGGAAGUGCAGUGAAGGAUGGCCCAGGUCCUUGGGCCCUGCACCUGCAUGGGAGACCAGGAGGAAGCACCUGGUUCCUGGCUUUGGAUCAGUGCAGUGCGCCAGCCAUAGCGGACACUUGGGGGGUGAACCAACGGAAAAAGGAAGACCUUUCUCUCCCUCUCUCUCUCUCUCUCACUAACUACCUGUCCAAAAAAAGAAAGAAAGAAAGAAAGAAAGAAAGAAAGAAAGAAAGAAAGAAAGAAAGAAAAAGAAAACCUCUGCAAUAAAAUAAAUCACAGUAUUAUAAAUUCCCUGUUGGUGUAACAGACCUAAAACAAUGUCUUGUAUGUGGUUUUUUCCAAAAAUGAACUUGGGGCCAGCAGAGCAGUGUAGUAGAUAAAGCUGCCACCUGUAAUUCCAGCAUCCCAUAUGGGUAUCAGUUUAAGUCCUGGCUGCUCCACUUCCAAUUCAGAAGGCAGUGGCAGAUGGCUCAAGUGCUUGGGCCCCUGCACUCACAUGGAAUACCUAGAAAGAACUGCCUGCUCCUGGCUUAGGGCUGGCCCAGCUCCAGCUGCUGCAGCCAUCUGGGGAGUGAACCAGCUAAUGGAAGAUCUCACUCUGCCUCUCCAUCUCUCUAACUCUGCCUUUUAAAUAAAUUAUUUAAUUAACAUUUUUUAAAAAAUGACAUUAAAUUUCUUUUGCUCUGAUCCCAAGAAAAGGUGGGGGUAUUUACUCUCCUCACAUGGGAUCUUGGCUCUGUAACUACUCACAGGAUAUGAUGGUGUGGAAAUAAUGCUUCGAGCUCCUGCAUCUUGGGGUGCUUGCUCUUCAAACCCAGACACUGUGCUCUAAGGAAGGCAGUCAUGGAGAGGUCUCUGUGAAGAAGAGCAGACGCCAAGGUGGAAGUUGCUCACACCUUUUUGACAAAAGAUAAAACUGAAGCUUGGAGGAAAUAAACAUUGUGCCCAAGAUCUGGCUGCAAGCACAAGACUGUUCGAGCUCAGAUCUGACCACAAAGAAAUCCUGCAUAGUACAGCCUGGGCUACUCCACAAACUACUGCUCCCUACUGUUCCCCACCUCAAGCAUAAAGCACAGAUAAAGAGUGGGACACAUGUGGGAAGAAGAGAUUUGAGAAUGUGAAUCCCAGCUCAUCUUCUCUAGUAACUAUCAAAACAAUCUUUAGAGCCAGUAGGAAAAUGUGUUCAGCAAAAUUUCUGCCUGGGUUCAGCACAAAGUCAAGAAUUCCACAGCAUUUUUCCAGGAUCUUUCCAGAGACACCUGCCUUUUUCCAAGCUCUCAAGAAACAUUUGCUACACUCACGAAUACUUUGUGCUUGCAUAUGCUAGUGGGUCCAGAUGGUUGGAAUCAUCAAUUGAAAACAAAGAGAACACUAAGAAAGCAGCAAGGGAGAGAGAUACCAAGUGGCAAUUAGGGAUGAGACAGCUAAAAUGGCUUCAUGAUGGUCUAGGCUGUGUGUUGUCAACCUGCUUCCAAAGAUGCACACCCACCCAAAGCGAUCCUGCUGAGUUCCUGAUGAGCAGUCAUGAGGCUUGCUUCAGAUGAUGGACCAAAGAAGGGGCUAAAGACUAGCAAAUCAAGGACUCCGUAAUACCCAAGGAUGCCCAUGAUGCUGUGCUGAACACAGGCUGGGUUUAGCAAUUUCUAACUUCCACAUUGAAAUCAUGGAGAAGUUGAAUUUAGGCGGUUCUUGUGGAAAAAAAAAUACAUACAUAUAUAUAAA